ensembl:snoRNA
UUGUGUCUAGAUGUAGCCCCAAAACCUUAUGCUCAAACUAAAGAGAUGUCUUUCUAUGGUCUGUUGGCCAUUUCAGAACUUGGGCAUGAAGUGGUCAAUUCAUCAGAAAGAAACAGAU